CGUGUAAGGGGUACCUGCGGAGGGAUCAUUACACAACAAAAAUAUGAGGGUGUGGUUUGCUGGCAACAGCGUCCGCCCCAAGUAUUUUUCACCCAUGUCUUUUGCGCACUUUUUGUUUCCUGGGCGAGUUCGCUCGCCACCAGGACCCAACCAUAAACCUUUUUUUAUGCAGUUGCAAUCAGCGUCAGUAUAAUAAUUCAAUUUAUUAAAACUUUCAACAACGGAUCUCUUGGUUCUGGCAUCGAUGAAGAACGCAGCGAAAUGCGAUACGUAGUGUGAAUUGCAGAAUUCAGUGAAUCAUCGAAUCUUUGAACGCACAUUGCGCCCUUUGGUAUUCCAAAGGGCAUGCCUGUUCGAGCGUCAUUUGUACCCUCAAGCUUUGCUUGGUGUUGGGCGUCUUUUUGUCUCUCCCCUUGUUGGGGGAGACUCGCCUUAAAACGAUUGGCAGCCGACCUACUGGUUUUCGGAGCGCAGCACAAAUUUGCGCCUUCCAAUCCACGGGGCGGCAUCCAGCAAGCCUUUGUUUUCUAUAACAAAUCCACAUUUUGACCUCGGAUCAGGUAGGGAUACCCGCUGAACUUAAGCAUAUCAAAAC
rnacentral:rRNA from 1 species